GAUGAACGCUGGCGGCGUGCCUAACACAUGCAAGUCGAGCGAUUUCCUUCGGGAAAGAGCGGCGGACGGGUGAGUAACGCGUGGGUAACCUGCCCUGUACACACGGAUAACAUACCGAAAGGUAUGCUAAUACGGGAUAACAUGAGAGAGUCCCAUGGCUUUCUUAUCAAAGCUCCGGCGGUACGGGAUGGACCCGCGUCUGAUUAGCUAGUUGGUAAGGUAACGGCUUACCAAGGCGACGAUCAGUAGCCGACCUGAGAGGGUGAUCGGCCGCAUUGGAACUGAGAAACGGUCCAAACUCCUACGGGAGGCAGCAGUGGUGAAUAUUGCACAAUGGGCGAAAGCCUGAUGCAGCAACGCCGCGUGAGCGAUGAAGGCCUUCGGGUCGUAAAGCUCUGUCCUCAAGGAAGGUAAUGACGGUACUUGAGGAGGAAGCCCCGGCUAACUACGUGCCAGCCGCCGCAGUAA
rnacentral:rRNA from 1 species